rnacentral:lncRNA from 1 species
UAAAGCCUGGUGGUAAUGUUUAUUGAGCAUUUACCAUGUUCUAAACAUCAUGCUAAGCACUUUAUGUAGAUCAUCUCACUUAAUCCUCACUGCAUUAUGAGCUGGUUUCAAGUAUUAGCACCCUCAUCUUACAGUUGGGAAAAACUGAGGUUCAGAUUAGUUCAUUCAUUUGCUCAAAGUCACAUAGCCCAUAUGUGGCAGAACCAGCAUCUGAACUCAGAUCACUGCCUCCAAAAGCUGAGCUCUUAAAACUAUGUCUUAUAUUAUUAAACAUCAAACAUUAUAAAGCGGUGAAACUCUGUUCUUGUCAUCUGUGUGAAAAACAGUUUUGAUCCAAGAUGUGAUAAAAUCAUUCAAUUAGAGAAUCUUUGAAUUGUAAUGGGUCCUGUGGGAUUAUCAAACCCAACCUCCCACUCAAUGGAGGAAUCCCCUUUCAGUCUAUAGGCCGGUGCAUGUAACAAGUGCUUAAUUGUGUUGAACUGGAGAAGACAUUCUGGCAGCUGAUUAUCCAGUUUCUGCAUGAACCUCUCCCAGUGAUGAGGAGUUCAUUGCCUCCCAACGCAGCCUCUUCCAUGUUAAAAAGCUCUGCUUGCCAGAAACUUCUUUCUCUGCUGAAAACGACAUUGAUCUGUAGUUUUCCAUCUUUCUCUCAUUGCUCCUCGUUGCAGGAAAAAAGUUGACAGUUUUACGAUUUGAACAUUUGACUGAAAAGUUUUUUGCUGCCAUUCAGUCACCACAUCCAUCGUUGCCUGCCCUUCCCAACCUCCAGAAGGAAAGGGAAACAAAACAUUAGGGUUGUAUUUUGUUUCCUCAAGUUUGGUUAAGUUAGAGCAAGAUUUGUUCGCUCAAGACGCUUCUUCCUUAUCCUUUUUAACAUUAAAAUGUUGGAAAGGAAUAAAAGCAAAAAAGGAACAGAACAGUAGAAUCUACUUUCCAAUUACAUCAAUAAAUGGGUGCACGGAGCAUGUUGAAUUCGAUAGAAAUGUUUGCUACGCUACUGGGGCAGGGAGGAAGCCUGUGGUUAAAUCUAUCAAUUUUGUUGUUUUUACAAAAGUACCGGAGCCAUCUGUGUGCGACCCAGUCAUUAGCUUGGGGUCCUCUCCCUGCAGAAGGAACAAUUAGAAACACCAUGUGCUGGUUCUCAAAACUUGUGCCCUGCACCUCCACCCAGAAGGCUAGAUUUUCCAUUAGUCCCUUAUUUCUAUCUUAUUGGUAAGGAGCUGCUUCUAAACCUUUCUCUUUUCUCCUGACUGAAGGAGGAGGUUAAAUUCCCCUUAGAUUUAGGAAGGCCCAGGGAACCACCGAGACGGCGAGACCUCCUGGAUUCCUAGAGAACACUGGGGGGAGGGGCUGUGACGCACUUCCGGUAGGUUUUCCAGGACUUGUGUUUGUCUUGAACGUCUGAUUUUCGGCUCGUUGUCUCUCUGCCCGGGCGACCCAGGCCUUCUGAGUUCCCGUCUGCGGGUGGCGGUGGGGACACGAGAUACAUGGUCACUGUCCCUAGCAUCUGGCCCCGGCAGGGUGUAGAGAGAAGCCCCGCACCCUUGGUUCCGUCUGCCCCUGCCCAAACCACCUUUGUGCUUUGACUUAACCUAAAUGAUGGGGUCGAUUAGGAAAGACUGGAGACAAAACAAGACGCUAGCAUCUUUCUGCCCUUGUACAGAAUCAUAGGAAAACCUUACCAGAAAGUGCAGCUCCGGUGGUUUGGAUCCAGGAAGAAAGAACAACCUAGAGAUGUUCCAGAAAAAAAGAAGCUACAAAAAUUAGGGUGGUCGCAGAUUUGAACCUGUCAAAUCACUGAUAGCAGAACUAAGAGAAGCUCGUUAAAAUCAGCAUGAGAUAAGCAUCCAACAUGCCUAGCCAGAGGCAGAAAAUAGAGCCAAAACUGGACAGGUGGACUCUCAGAGUUCACCCUAACAUCAGAGUUAUGGCUGAGAUAACCCUACUAAUUUCAAAGGUCGUGAACCUUCAUAUCAAGGCAAUCUUGUCUUGAUCUCGACAUCUCUGACCCUUGCUCAGUAUUGUUUUCAUUGGCUGCAAUAUAAAGAUGAGUUCAUUGACCUCCCCGCCUUCCAAGGACACUGGCCCUGGGCCCUAAGUGAAGGAAUGUGUCUGGGCUUGGGGCCAAAGAUGGCCACUUCAGCCCUGACUCUAGGGUACAAGUUACAAAGAAUAUGUCCUGCGUCAUGUUCCCUGUCUGGGCUGGCCACCCCAGAGGGCACCUGACUGAACUUUAGAAACAUCCCAUCUGUGGGAACAAAAAAGACAGAAGCACCCCAUCCGUAGGAAGAAGAAAUAACUCAAAGUAUCCAAAUGUCUGAAACCCUGAAUCACAACCUAGAGAAACCUUAGGAUAGAAGGACGUCACAGGCAUAGAACAAUUGGGAGUCUCACUGAGGAAAGGACACUUUGCCUCAUACCCGAACAACUGGCACUCCCACCAGCCAUACAAACUAUUGGGACUUCCUCGGCUGAUUGUGGUGUGGAUGUUCUAAGUACCGAUUUGUUGUUUCCCUUUAUCCCCACUCCACGUUCUGUUCCCCUUUAUCAAUAAACUUUGAUUGCUUAAACAACCAAGUAGCCUUGGCGGUAACUGUCAUUCCUUGCCCUUUGCAGCUGCGAACAACAGACACAAUGGCUUGAG